GAUGAACGCUAGCUACAGGCUUAACACAUGCAAGUCGAGGGGAAACGAUAGAGAAAGCUUGCUUUUUCUAGGCGUCGACCGGCGCACGGGUGAGUAACGCGUAUCCAACCUGCCCAUCACUUGGGGAUAACCUUGCGCAAGUAAGACUAAUACCCAAUAACGUCGCUAGAAGACAUCUGAAGGAGAUUAAAGAUUUAACGGUGAUGUGUGGGGAUGCGUCGGAUUAGCUUGUUGGCGGGGUAACGGCCCACCAAGGCGACGAUCAGUAGGGGUUCUGAGAGGAAGGUCCCCCACAUUGGAACUGAGACACGGUCCAAACUCCUACGGGAGGCAGCAGUGAGGAAUAUUGGUCAAUGGACGAGAGUCUGAACCAGCCAAGUAGCGUGCAGGAUGACGGCCCUAUGGGUUGUAAACUGCUUUUAUAAGGGAAUAAAGUGAGCCACGUGUGGCUUUUUGCAUGUACCUUAUGAAUAAGGACCGGCUAAUUCCGUGCCAGCCGCCGCCGUAA
rnacentral:rRNA from 1 species